CAGCGCUUGGCCUCUGCUGAUGCCGUCGUUGUCCUACCCCUCCCCCGUCCCAGCUCUGCGGCGGCCGCGCGCUCCAGGCCGGUCGCUCCACCCCCCGGCUCCCGGGACUGUGGACUCCACGACCCUGUCCUCGGCCCUGUCCGCGCCGAAGCAGCCCGGGACUGCGCAGCGCCCCGCGUGCCGCAAAGAAGAUGCUUAUGAUGGAGUCACAUCUGAAAACAUGAGGAAUGGACUGGUUAAUAGUGAAGUCCAUAAUGAAGAUGGAAGAAAUGGAGAUGUCUCUCAGUUUCCAUAUGUGGAAUUUACAGGAAGAGAUAGUGUCACCUGCCCUACUUGUCAGGGAACAGGAAGAAUUCCUAGGGGGCAAGAAAACCAACUGGUGGCAUUGAUUCCAUAUAGUGAUCAGAGAUUAAGGCCAAGAAGAACAAAGCUGUAUGUGAUGGCUUCUGUGUUUGUCUGUCUACUCCUUUCUGGAUUGGCUGUGUUUUUCCUUUUCCCUCGCUCUAUCGACGUGAAAUACAUUGGUGUAAAAUCAGCCUAUGUCAGUUAUGAUGUUCAGAAGCGUACAAUUUAUUUAAAUAUCACAAACACACUAAAUAUAACAAACAAUAACUAUUACUCUGUCGAAGUUGAAAACAUCACUGCCCAAGUUCAAUUUUCAAAAACAGUUAUUGGAAAGGCACGCUUAAACAACAUAACCAUUAUUGGUCCACUUGAUAUGAAACAAAUUGAUUACACAGUACCUACCGUUAUAGCAGAGGAAAUGAGUUAUAUGUAUGAUUUCUGUACUCUGAUAUCCAUCAAAGUGCAUAACAUAGUACUCAUGAUGCAAGUUACUGUGACAACAACAUACUUUGGCCACUCUGAACAGAUAUCCCAGGAGAGGUAUCAGUAUGUCGACUGUGGAAGAAACACAACUUAUCAGUUGGGGCAGUCUGAAUAUUUAAAUGUACUUCAGCCACAACAGUAAAAACUGGAAGAGAUGGAUUUAAAGAAGAAAUAUCUACUGAUAUUUCCUAUACUCUCAAUGAAGAGGUAUUUCCUAAUAGGAGACCUUAAAUUGAACAAACCUAAAGUUUACACUUCUAAGAGUACAGUUAAAAGUAUGUGGACCUGCAGUUCUUGUAACUCUCCACUCUGUGUUAAUGAUAUAUUUGUACUAGGAUCUUUUACUUGAAUCUAAAUUUACUGGUUGAUUUCCUUCUCCAGCCUAUCCCCUACAGGGAAAAGCUGAUACUUCCCCUAUAGUCCAAUAAAUAAUUAUUUAAAAGUCAUAGCUCCAGUCACUACUGAAAACAUAAUUUUGGUGAUAAACAUAAUUUGAGAAACUUAAUUUCUGAAUGUUUUUAUAGAAAAUUACUGAAAGUCUAUUACUCAUGGAAGACUUUUAAAGAAUAACCUUUUUUCCUGUUUUAUAAAUUCCCAUUGUUAUAUGGUAGUAUUUCAGCUACACAAUAUUUUAGCUUUUAGCUAGACAUUUAUAGCUUUUCAUUUGUUGAAACGGUAAUCAUCUGCAUGUUUUUGUCACUUAUUUCAGGUUAGUGAUUGCCUAACACUUAUAAGCCAAAAUAAUCUUUGCAAAAUUCCAUACCUAAAAUUUUGAAAGCCCCUAAUGUUUUCACACAUCUUUCUGUAUUAGUUAUAGUUUUGUGAAAUCUUUGUGUGAUCUUCAAACAUUAUCAUUUAAUGUACAAUACUGUAAAUAAACUGUGCAUGGCUUUUAUACAGCUUUAGUAAAUGUCAAAUAAAGUGGUACAGACUCAUUACAACAAGUUUCUCAUAAAAAUACAAUAAAUAGGAAAAUAAAAUUCAGAAACCCAUAAACUGGGAAUAGGUUCCAAUUACAUCAUGGAUCUGGCAUAAAAUAAAUUUGAAAUAAAGUAUUUUGAUGCUCCAUUUUUUUAUGUUGCUUUUCAUACUAAAGAAUGGUGUAGACAUGUUUUGCAACUGUUAGGUACCCAGUUAUCAAUUUUAUCAAUGUUUUAGAGGAGGAAAUUAUUUUUUUGAUAGAAAUUGUUCAAGAAAUCCUUAAUUGAAUGUCAUUAAAUGAUGGUGGCCAAAAUAAAACCUAUUUAGAAAUUUAAUCACUUUGCACAUCACUUGGAAUAUGAUGCCUCUAGUAGUUACUUUUUUAUAGUUUUCUACUUUUGGUUUUAAUUUUAUUUAAAAUUGUUUUCAAAUAUAGAUUAUUGACUUAUUCAACUUUGCUGUUUUAUAUUUUCAGUAUCAUUUUUCAUUUGUUUUUUUUUUUUUGUCUUUUCACUUGCCAAGUUCUAGGGACAUUUAAAAUAUGUACUAAGUGUAGGAGUGGUUAUGAUACCAAAAAGUGUAGCUGGGUUGAGAUUAAUUGCGUUCUGUUUUCUCAUGACAGAAAUCAGGUUUCCCUUUCCCCACCCCUAAGUGCCUAACUUAGGUCUGAAACAGCCUGUUUAUUAGUCUGACUCUCUCAGCCAUAAAACAUAAGCUUUAUUUAAUUCUGCCUUUAUACACACUCAGGUUUCCCCUUAAUUUUCAUAUUAUUUUCUGCAAGUUUUCCUGGGUAUCUUAAAUUCGUCGAAUGUGGUUUUUGUUUUUUUUUGUUUUGUUUUUUUAACACUAGUCUUCCCUUAAUUCAUUGCUAACUCAAGCCAUCCUUACUAUUAAACCCAAAUCAGUCCUUUAAGUUCAUUAUGGCCUUUCUAGUAUUUAAAAAAAAAAAAAUCAUUUUCAUUUUUCUGCUACAUUUCCUGACUACUACUGCAUACUUCUCUGAUACAGAUUCUGUUUGUAUUUUUUAUAUCAUUGUCAUUUGACAUGAUCUGUGUCUAUAUAUGAUAUAGGUCCCCUUUUGUCUCAAAAUUUUUAAUUAUGUGACUUCAAAAAUCACCUAUUAUCUCUAGUAGGGCUUCCAAAUCUGCUUCUCCAUAUGUGACCAGUCACCUGUCUGCUUUCACAUUUAGCUAGUGAACUACACAUUUAAUAAAAUGUGUAAAUUUUACACAUUUAGUGACUGUGUAAAAUCAAAAAAAAAGUUAUUUUGUCAUAUCCUUUCUAUUAUGUUCCCAUCCUGUCCUCAUGUCCCAUUUACUUUAUUAUCACCAUUCAUUUCUUCAAAAUUAUCUUUUAGAUACACUCAUACAGAAAUCAAUCCUUGUUUUCUUGCUUGUGUCUUUUAACCUUGGAAAAUUACAUUGUGUAAAUUAAACAGAUUUUUCUGAUGAUCUGUGCUUCUUAUAUACUAUUAGAGUGCAUGACAGUAUCUCCCAAAAAGGAUGGAAAGUAGAAGAAGCAUUUGCUUUUAGUCACUUAAUUUUGAAUCUUUUUUUCUUCAUCUUUUGAAUUAAUUUUUUUUUACUAUAUCUACUUUUAGUGGAGUUUGAGUCAGAAAAAAACAAGAAUUUGAAACAAGUAAAAAGAUAGAAGAGAAAUAAAGAUGGUAUGUGACUACUUUCAGAGAGAGUUAAGUAACUGUCAGAAUAAGCCUGGAACAAAACAGGCUGUAAAUUAAUAAAACUACAAACACACAUUCAGGUGAAGCAGAAGUAUAGCCAUAAAACAUCUAGAAAGAGCGAAUGAGGCUUUUAGCUUUUCUUAGGUCAGUGUCCAAUGUGCUUUUUUCCAUGGGAAUAGGAUAGGUAUUAAUACGCUUUUCUAAACUGCUCUCAGACCUUAUCCAGAGGACAUGGUAAAGAUAUGUUACAGAAAUUUUUCUGAUACUUCCUGGAAUAACUUCAAGUUACACCCUAGUAGACUGGUCAUUCUAAUAAAAUCCAGUACUAUAACAAACCUCUGUAUGUUGAUAGCACAUUGGCCCUUUUUAGAGUUCUUUCCUAUGUUUUUCUUACAUGAUUUCCCACAGUUCCAUGAGUCCAACAAGGAGAGUGAUAGGCUCCUUAUCUUUUAGAAGAGGAAGGAAAGGCAUGAAGAAGUUGAGGGACUGGCUGAAGAUCACGUACUUACUAAGUAGUACAACUGGAGCAAGACCAAGUAUCUCUGUCUCCCAUAUCUGUGUUCUAUCGUUUAAAAUAUAUAUUGGAAAUCCCUGCUGACUCAGAUUGGUAUGAUUAAAAAUGAGAGGAAAGUUCAAAUAGUUAGUAGUGACAAUCAAACUAAUACUGCUGGACUAAGAUUUUGGUAGCAUUGUUUUCUAAAAUAUUUUAAAUGGAGAAUGAACACUUAUAAAAUGCUUUGGAACAUAAUCUUUAGCUUAAUUUUCUGUUAAAAUUUAGUACCCCUUCAUCAUUCCAAUAAAGACUGAUCCAUUGU
rnacentral:lncRNA from 1 species